GAUGAAGAACGUAGCGAAAUGCGAUAAGUAAUGUGAAAUGCAGAAUUCAGUGAAUCAUCGAAUCUUUGAACGCACAUUGCGCACGCUAGUAUUCUGGCGGGCAUGCCUGUCCGAGCGUCAUUUCAACCCUCAAGCCCCCGGGCUUGGUGUUGGGGAUCGGCGAGCCUCCGCGCCCGCCGUCCACUAAAUCUAGUGGCGGUCUCGCUGUAGCUUCCUCUGCGUAGUAGCACACCUCGCACUGGGAAACAGCGCGGCCACGCCGUUAAACCCCCAACUUCUGAACGUUUGACCUCGGAUCAGGUAGGAAUACCCGCUGAACUUAAGCAUAUCAAUAAGCGGAGGA
rnacentral:misc_RNA from 1 species